AUUGUACUGCCAAUGAAAAGGUUAUUAACCAUCAGAGGUAUAAGAUUCUGGAAUUCUUGCAAUGAAGAUAUUGAAGGCAAGAAAGGACUUUUCUUUAAGAUAGAGCCUGAUAAAUUCAUAAUGGGAUUAUAGUGAAUGUUUUUUUCCAGCCGAAUGUAUUGUCUUAAUUCUGUCUGUUUAAGGCAUAGACCAGAGCCAGUAUUUCCACUGUUACUGUUUAUGGUCAACAUUAGAACAUUCUCUGCUUGUUCCUGGAGAUGUCACUUGCAAAUUGUACUUUCAGCUUAAUUCCCAAGGUGCCACCACCUUGGCUAAAAGAAAUCUCAAUCUGAAUAUCCCUGGAUCCCAUUCAACUGAGAAAACUGAAGUGUCCCAACUCCUUCAUCCACCAAAGACCUUCUCUGGUACCUUCAGAGCAGAGCUGAUGCAUGGAGCCACGCACCCAACAGCACAGCAGCAGAGGCUGGCACAUGCACACUGCAGGACACUGCAGCACAGGGGAGUUAAGCAGUGACAAGAGCAGUAAACUAUUUAAGGUAUAACUUUUCCCUCUCAUUCUACCAAAACCCCUUGAACCAACAAUGGAAUCCCAAUAUAUUGACAAGAUUCUGGUGGUUUUGGGUGCCUAUCUUUGAAAGGGCAGCCAGCUUGCUGCAGAGGUCUUUUAGAAUGUCUCUUCCAGGGAAUAUUCUUUUAAGAUCUCUAAUUGAAAGUAAUAAUAAAGACCUUCAAUCAGUCAGAUAGAGGAAUGUAACGUGGCUAAUGGAAAACUACAGUGAAGGGUGAUGGAAGGGUACGUUUGCUGUUGAGGAAGGGCAUCAUGUCUUCUGACUGGGAAACUGUUGCUUUGGUAGGGUAGCAGCUAAUCCCAUUCCAUGUGGCGUGGCCUAGUCAUCACACGAUGAGCUUUUGAACUUUGUCAGCUCUGCUGGUUGCAUUCUCUGUGCUUCGUGCCAGGUUUUGGCAUUCCUCAGCCAAGAUUCCCUGUCUCCUGUUUUGUCAGCGUUGACCAGAUUCCUUCAUGACACACCACUGAUGCUGGUGGCCUUUUGAUGUAAUGUGUGGUGAAAGAAAUGUUGUUGAUACUGCUACGAUUUUGCAUUUUGCAGCAGCACAAGUGCCAAGGAGGACUUGGACUUGCUUUAUUCAAGGGAAUAGGAUCCAAACACAGAAAUCCAUCGUGUUUUCCAUAUGGAACCGAAAUCAAAAUAAAAGAUCUGGACAAAAAGAGGAGGAUGCAUUUUUGCGUAAGGAUUAGUCUCAUUUUAAUUGUAUAUCCACAGAUUCUGAUGGAAUAAUACAAAGCAAAAAUAAGAAUACAUACUGAACAGCAAUCUAUGUCUUCUAGCAUAAACCACCUAGUUACAAACACUUUAGAAAAAUGACAGGUCACACAUUUUUACAGGUAGGUUUGGGUUAAAAGGACCCACUACAAAGGAGAAAAAACUGAGAUAGAUCAAAGUGAUACCGUCAUGGUGACUUUUAAACUUCACUUUACCAGUAGCAUGCUGUAUUUCUGACUGCCAGUAAAUAUGGAAAUACAAAAGAGAAAACAUGUGCUUUUGGAGAUAGAGCAAUUUUGCCUGGUCAUUUCACCUGCUGUCAGGGUAAACUGAGCUUAUUGCCACCAGCAUUUCAGGAGCUCUUUUGUUUUUUCAUGUCAAAUAGAGGAUGUGCUGCUUUUAAAACCUUUCCCACGGAGGUUUCCUCCCAUGUGGGAUUGCACAUCUGUAAGCAAAUCAUCUUAGAGAAAAUAGAUGGAUAAAUUUGCAAGGAGGUAUGCUCUAAACAUCCACUCACAUUUACACAGCACUGUGAAGAGGAGACGGGAUUCAUUAUCCAACUGAAUAUACAGCAGCAUCUCAGUUUUGUUUCCUGGGUCUUCCUUGUGAUUCAAAAGGAUGAUUCCUAAACAAAGUAUUUUCACUGUAUAAAUCUGACACUGGUCAAGUCCUGUGGCUGCCUCAAGGAGCUGGGAACGUGUUUCCUACUCUGUUCUCAGGAUGUGAUUUUUCAGGCUGACGCUGGCUGAAUGUUGAAGUUUGACAUAAAUUAGACAGUGAGUCAAUACUGUGAUUGCUGUGAAUAUUAUGGGGGUCCAAUAAUUCUGUCUGCAGCUAAAAUGGGGCUAUUUAUGGAUUCACCAUCAGAAAAGCUCAUGAGAGGUAAAAUCCAAGCCCAGAAAAAUGGUGUUGAUAAUUCCUGCUGUUUGAUAGGAUACAGUGCAUUCAUAAAUCAAAGUAUUAAUCCUCUCAAGAUGUUUUUCUGAGGCAAGGUCUGCUGUACACUGGCAACACUGACCAGUACAGCAGUACUGCUACAAGGAUGGAGUUUAUUUCAUUAUAGUUUUUAACC